UACGGAGGAUGCGAGCGUUAUCCGGAUUCAUUGGGUUUAAAGGGUGCGCAGGCGGGGCAUUAAGUCAGUGGUGAAAUAAGACGGCUCAACUGUCUGGCUGCCAUUGAUACUGAUGUUCUAGAGUGUAAUUGGAGUGGGCGGAAUGUGUCAUGUAGCGGUGAAAUGCUUAGAUAUGACACAGAACACCGAUCGCGAAGGCAGCUCACUAAGUUAAUACUGACGCUCAUGCACGAAAGCGUGGGGAUCAAACAGG
rnacentral:rRNA from 1 species